rnacentral:misc_RNA from 1 species
GAGGCGGACACCAACACGGGCACACACACACACGCACACCUGCAGCAUCGCGUGCAUUCCCUCGCUCUCCGUAAAGAUGGGUGCAGCGGUGGCUCGCGUAGUACAUGAGACGGCCGCACGGCUGCCGCACCUGACGGGCAGACAGCAGGGCGCCCUGCUGGCCGUGGCGCUCGGCACCGGCUACACACUUCUUCGCCAGCGCCUCGUGCCGAAGUGGAUCAUGCAGAAGUGGUUUCUGCUCUCCUCCACCGCCCUAAUCAUUCCAUCCUCUGCGCUUGUCUACCUGAUCGACCCGCUCCGCUACCUCGGUGUGCCGCGGCGGUGUGUGCAGAGCAUCUGCGUCCUCAUCUUCGGCUGCGUUUUCAAGGCUGUGUGGUGGGUCAACCCACAGAUCCGCAUGCACGUGCAGUUCGACGCCAACGAGCAUGGAAAGCCGGGGUGCUGGGACGACAUCGCCCGUACCGGCACCGCCUUUACACUGAACCACACCUCCUUCUGGGAUGCCUUCGUGAUGGUCGGCAUUACGCCCAUGUCGCACCUAAUACAGAUGCGCACACUGAUGAAGUCGUCGCUGCGCAAGAUCCCGAUCUUCGGCGGCGUCUUCGACCGCGUCGGGCACUUCCCCGUGCACUUCAAGUCGGGCGAGGACGGUAACUUCCACGUGGACAAGGAGAAGCAGGCGAUAGUGUCGCAACACAUGCGCUGGCACCUGCGCCUCGGCGGCAGCGUCGCCUUCUUCCCUGAGGGCGCCGUCAACAAAACCCCGGAGACGCUGCAGCCGUUCCGCUACGGCACCUUUGCUACCGUCAUCGAGCAUCGCCUCCGCGUCUACUACGUGGUAUCUGUCGGCAGCGAGAAGACGUGGCCGCCGCGAAUGGCGUGCGGCGGGCUGCCGGCCGACGUCCACAUCCGCAUCGGCGCCUACCCGAUCGACUUCGACAGGGACUCCAGCAGAAACGUCGCGGUGGGACUGCAGGUGCGCAUGCAGCAGGUGCGGGACGAGAUCGCGGCUGAGGUAGCCGCCGCGGAGGAGAGGCGGAGGCGGCGACGCAACGGUCCAGUGUCGGAGGCGAAGGGGGCAAAGACGCUGGACAUUGCGCCGCCCCACACUGCUCGUGAGGCUCAUCCGACAAGGGCGACGGCGUAAACCCGCCGUAAAACCUCAGCGGCCCGCAGGUAGCAUUGUUGUGCAGGGAGCCGACCGCUGUCGUCGUGUGAACAGACAGGGGGAGGGGGGUGGAGCGGAAGAACAGUCCACCAAGAGGUGCCUGCGGCCCUAUGGUCACCGACGCACGUGCAGGAAAGCACCAGCUUCAUGCGCGCCCCCUGCCCCUCCACCUAGUCACCUCACUGCCACGAUAACGCCCCCGACCCCAGCCCUCUGUGUGUAUGUGUGUGUGUGUGUGUGUGUGUGUGUAAUGGCCUCCUUACUUGCUCCCUGUCAUAGGCGCUGACUUGGUUCGCAACUUAUUCAUAAUGCUGAUGCGUUCGUGGCGUCGAUAUCUUCUUGCGUGCUCAUCACUUCGUGCUUGAAAAGCGUGUUUGAUGGCCCCUCUUCCUCCCCGUCCUUCUUCGUCUGUGCGCGAGCAGAUGCUUAUGGUGUAGGGCGUCGAAGACGGUCUUCAGCUCCCCUCAUCCGCUCACAUAGCAUGCGCGUGUGUGUCUGCACAUGGGUGCCUCGAUUUUGGUUGCCAAGAAGCUCCACUUCACGUUGCUGCUUGCCUUACGGCGUGCCCUCUCUUCUCCAUCACCCGCUGUUGCCCUUACGUCUGUCGCCGAGGUGCGCGGCGGGCAGGGGCGGGGAGAGGGGAGCAGGUUGGGGGGGGGGCACAGGAAGCACCCGCUCAGCGAUCGUCGCAGCGUACAGAGUCCAGCGCUCACGUCCUCGACUCUUUUUCCCUGUAUUUGUCACGCCAUCGCACACGCACAGCCGGUAGGGGUGCCACGUCGCCCUCCGGCGUCGAGCCUCCGCGUGAGAGGAUGGGGUGCAGUUCUAUGGCACCUCGACAUUCCUGCAGCCUUCCUCCACGCCCAUCCCCUCCCACAAGACAGCAGCUGAUGUGGCAUCGAAGCGGGAGGAGUGAACGAGGGAAGAGCGGGGAGGCGGCGGCGAAGAGGUCACGGCCAACGCGGUGCAUGUAUGUUGCCCGUGUGAUGGGCUCGCUUGCUCGGCCUUUGCCCUUUCUCUCUUCGCCACCUCUCCGCUCGUUGCCGCCAAGCAAGGCCGAAAGCAACAUGCACGCGUCGUGGUGUGGAAACAGGGGCGCGCCCAUCUGCGGAUCAUCCACGUGCCUUCGUUCGCCCUCGUCAUCUCAG